CCCUUUCUCAUUGAAUUAGUAGUCCUUUUGAUCGGUUUUGAUAAAUCCAACAACAUACCAAAAAUGAAACCGAUUACAAGUCCCGGAAGGAAGUUUUCCGGCUGAAAGCUCCGGCCCAACCAUCCCCUAUCUUGUUUCUGUAGCCAAAAACAAUCCACAAGAAAGCAGUGAGUGCUUCUAGUGAAUUAAAAAGAGCAAAAACAAGAUUAUAAUAAAGAAAUUUUCAAGGGAUACGAAGGGUUUAAGCGUUAAGGGGUAUAGAGAUAGAUUAGAAAGAUACAGUUCUUGAGAGCUGCGAUUGUUUCCGGAAUGAGCCCAUCAUUUGGAGAUGUCGUUCUUUCUCGGAGGGUUCGAGGGGUCUAAAGGAUAUGAG
rnacentral:lncRNA from 1 species